AUAUCAUCGGGCACGGCUCUGUGAAGUCCGCUGCCCGGAUGAACAGUGCGGUGGUCCUGUUCCUGGAGAAGGUGGAACAGGUGAACAGGUUGGUGGAGACGGGCAUUACAGUGAAUGGGAUGUUUGAGCCGGUGAUACCGCUGAUACAGCCGGCUACAAGGAUCACUCUGUCAGACGUUCCCCCGUUCAUUAGUGAUGAUUUCUUGAUUAAAGAGCUGUCCAGACAUGGAAAGGUGGUGUCACCAAUAAGAAAAGUGCUGUCGGGCUGUAAGUCUCCCCUCCUGAGACAUGUAGUGUCUCACCGCAGACAGCUCUUCAUGUUGCUCAACAACAAAAACGAAGAGUUUGAUUACCGGUUCAGAGUCCGUGUGGAUGAUUUUGAGUACAUCCUCUUUGCAACAUCAUCCACUGUGAAAUGUUUCGGAUGUGGCGAAGAGGGACAUUUGAUUAAGGCCUGUCCGAGCCGCGGCCGACCGCCGGCCCGUUGCGGCGGUGCGGCAGUCGGCCGCGGUGGCCGGUGGGGGGGCCGGUGCCGCAGGGCAAGAAAAAGAAGCAGGAGCUGCAGAGAAACAGGUGGAAGAGAUGCAGAGCCAGGCUGGAGGGAGCACUGAGGUGACACCCGAUCUGACUGUCAUACCAUUGAAUCAGCGUUAUCCUGAUCCAAUCAUCCCACAGAUAGGGGCCAGUAGGGGCCAGUAGGGGCCUACUCUACCUACCAGUAGGUGCAGGAUGCAGUUAUCACCCAUUCAUCUGAUCCAAUACUAUUCAAGCCCAGCAGGUACAGAAGGUGUGUCAUCCAGCAGAGCAGUCACGUGACUGUCACAUUUCUGUCUGCGGAAAAAAACAAAAUGGCUGCAUUUUCUUUUCUUUUCAGUGGAAAAACAACAUUUUAAGAUAUUUCUGGCAUUAGAGUUCGUUGUGAUAACAUUUCUAGCGGGAAAUGUGUACAUUAUUUCCAUAAUCUCUGUUGAUUGAAUGCCUAUGAUAUUUCAUCAUCACCUGUUUCAGGCUUCUAUGGUGUCUGUUCUGUUUGUGGUUGCUAUGCAGUUGCUAUGGGCGUCUUAUCGCUAAAACACGUGAAUAUUGUUUUAAUAAUUGCAUCGGAGCUGUAAUGUUAUUCGUGUUAUUUUAUGUAACUGCUCAAUGACGAUCUUAAAAAUAAAAAACGUACAUUUCAGAGUUUGCUCGUAAUUGAAUUUUAAACCGGAACCUUUGUGUUUUAUGGAGGACUGAAAGUGCCACAAUUAAAUAAAUAAAUACACCAUUAAAUAAUUACUUAAAUGUGUCAUUAAUUAAUUAAAAUUGGAAUUAAAUACAUAAAUAUGAUAUUAAAUGUGUCAUUAAUUAAUUCAAAUACAGAUUCAUUUAAUGUAAAAUACAUAUAUAAUUAUUUCACUAUUUACAUUUACAUGUCAUGGUCCUGUGUUGCAGUGCUUCAUGAAUUACUUUAAUCUGUCAAACUCACCCAUCAAACUCAGACGGGGGGGGCUAACACGAAUCUAGCCUGAUCCAUUGCUUUGGUCUGAAGUAGAGUACCUGGAUAGAGACGAUGGAGGAUCUCCAUGAACUUUCUAGGGAGUUGGAGAGAGACAUUUUAAACUUAGCAGAGGAUAUAGAAGCAGGAGCUGCUGACCCAGAGCAUAUAGCGAGUAAAGCAGAGGAACUUAUUGAAGUUCCUGGAGUUAUUUCCGAGGAAGAUCUCGACCACAGAGUGACUGCAGAUCUAGAAGAAGUAGUCCACCGCUUCUCUGGUACCAGGGCGCAUCAGGCCCAACACACACAGGGACCGGGGCGUUUGCCGUUUGACAUACCGAGUGCAGUUCUGGAUCAUCAAGUUCUUUGUGGUCAGAUUGCAGCGAUGUUCGGAGUGUCUGAGGACCAUCAGGAGGCGCAUGCAACAAUACGGUUUAAGGAAGACAGAUCUCUAAUCAGCUGUGAAUGAAGAGGAGUUGGACCGCAUUAUAAGUGACAUUCACAGAAGACAUCCAAACUCUGGCUACAAGCUAAUGCGUGGUCAUCUGAAUGCAAGAGGUGUGCGUGUUCCAAUCUCAAGACUGCAAGAGUCUUUACGCAGAGUCGAUGCAGAGGGAGUCUACAUGAGACGUCUAAGGCUGCGUGUAUUAAGACGACGGCAGUAUUCUGUUCCUGGCCCAAACUCUUUGUGGCAUAUAGAUGGCAACCAUAAGCUCAUCAGGUGGAGAUUUGUUGUCCAUGGUGCGGUGGAUGGAUUCAGUCGUUUAGUGGUCUACCUGACUGUGGCUGGCAAUAAUAGAGCUCAUACAGUCUUACAGAGCUUUAUCGCUGCUGUUGAGCAGUAUGGGCUGCCAUCAAGGGUACGGUCUGAUAAAGGGGGGAGAAUGCUGAUGUAGCAGAAUUCAUGAUCAGAAGCAGAGGUACCGACAGGAAUUCACACAUCACAGGCAGAAGUGUCCAAUCAGCGAAUAGAGAGGAUGUGGAGAGAUGUUUAUGAACAUGCCCUGGACCUCUUCUAUCAGAUCUUCACUUCAUUGGAAGAUCAGGGAACACUGAAUCCAGACAAUGAAGUCCAUCUUUUCGCCCUGCAUCGGAUCUUCCUUCCACUGAUUCAGCAAAGCCUUGACUCUAUCUGAGAUGCUUGGAACUUUCAUGGUCUUAGAACUGAAAGGAAUCAGUCACCACAGCAACUCUGGAGAAGAUCCAGAGAGCAAGGCCCUGAGGAGGAUCCUACUGAGGUUCCUGAAGAGUAUGGGAUCGACUGGAACGGACCUCACAGUCUUCAUGGAGGCACUGUGUCAGUCCCCCAGGUUCAGCUGGCCCGUGAGCUCUCAGAUGAAGAGGUUGCCCUUUUGCCAGCUCCAGGAGUUUCUGUAACUGAUGCACUUAGAUUAUAUGUAGAGACUGUGGAAGUUUUAUCAGGAAUCAUAGCAGACUGAUGUCCAACCCAUGCUUUUAUUUGGCGUGUUAGAACAAGCAAGGAUAAACUGAAAAAGUUUGCUUUCCUUAAAGAAAAAAAAAAAAAAAAGCUGUUUUACUUUGAAGCUCUACCAUAAUGACUGUCAUGUACAGCUCCACUACUUUCUGAACUUCAACACUUUACUUCCCGUCUCAUUAUUGUCCACAGAAUGAAUAACAUGAAUGCUGUACUGUUAACACUUAAGGUGCAGAACUGUUUGGUUUCAGUAAAUGGAAAAAGUCAA